rnacentral:rRNA from 1 species
CGGCCACGCCGGUCCGUCGGGAAAUCCGUCAGCUCAACUGACGGGCGUCCGGCGGAUACCCCGUGGCUUGGGACCGGAAGACCCGAGGGGUACGUCCGGGGUAGGAGUGAAAUCCCGUAAUCCUGGACGGACCGCCGAUGGCGAAAGCACCUCGGGAGGACGGAUCCGACGGUGAGGGACGAAAGCUAGGGUCUCGAACCGGAUUAGAUACCCGGGUAGUCCUAGCCGUAAACGAUGCCCGCUAGGUGUGUCACCGGCUACGAGCCGGUGACGUGCCGCAGGGAAGCCGCUAAGCGGGCCGCUUGGGAA